rnacentral:lncRNA from 1 species
CAUCGGGAUCCAGUGACCAAGCUACUGUGGCAAAGUUAGAGCAACAAGCCACCAAUCCAUUUGGAAGAUGCUGGACAGGUUGAAGUGUGGCUCUGAGAUGUGUGUCAUACAUUUCCCUGAUCUUUGAACUGAAUGGUAGGAGCUUUGUCUCUCCCGCUUGAGCCGUGUAGGUUUGCCAGUGCAGUUAGCUUGCAGCGUUCUCCCUAUGUUUCCUUUCCUUGUUGCCAUAAGGCCUGAGACCUGAUGACCUGACCCACGGCAUAACCAUUUUGCUUGGUCCAAGGACGACACGACAUGACUGAUGUAGACCUAUGCUAGUACGGCCUGACAGUUGAGCCAUGCUUGGCCCGAUGCCUUCACACGGUGAGCUAGUCUAGCACAGUACGGUUCACCAAAAUCUUAAGAUCGACUCUAAAGUUAAAGCAGAAAAUUCAUAUUUUGAUUUAUGAGCAAAACCAAAAGUGAAUAGAUGUAGCUCUUCCACUGCCAUAUAUGCCCACGAGAGGAAAUGCUAUGGAACAAGUCCUUAAUCUGAAAAUGAAAAGGAUAUUUAUAUCAUUAAAAGUUUUCGUCAUC